UGGCUGCUAACCGUUCCACCCGUUGUUCGGAACUUCGCUCACCUCCCAGGCCUGUUUAGGCCUUUGUCUGUUGUCGUCAGGACUAGGCUCUGAAGAAGCUUCAAGAGCCACUGAUCCCAACCAAUUAUUGAUCAUCCUGUCACCUUCUCCUGUAUUCAGCAGUUCACCCAAAUUGAAGGUUGACUGUGGAGUCCUUUUGGUAAGAAAAGAGCUCCAAGAGCAAGGUACCCUAUUGUUUCUGUGGACAAGAAGAUAGCCCCAGUUUAAAAGGAUGUUCAAUCAAGCUGAUUUUUUUCCUUCCUGACAUGAACAGUACUUCAGGUUUUUCAAAAGAUAAGAAAAGUUACUACUAAAGCUGUAUUUCACUAAUAAUUAAAAUGAUUUAGAAGACAAAACCAUCACAACUUUACAACCCCAAAUUUAUUAAUAGCUUUAGGCAAAUCACCGUGUCAACUAACAUGAU
rnacentral:lncRNA from 13 species